rnacentral:lncRNA from 1 species
GGAAAUGCCAUUGAAAACACUGCACUGCCUAUGAUUUAUCUUAUAGCAAGUCCUGCCUUUAAGAAAUUAACAUUACACUGAAGGCUUCUACUUCCAUAAUUUGGGAGAAUAAGCAUUCUAUGGUUAUUGAGAAGCAGCAAGCAAUAGUGAAGAGAUAUAGAAGUAAUUGGGUUCUGAGUACUUUGUCAUAGAGCUCAGUAUCUGCAUGGAAAUAUAAUAAAAGGGCCGAAAAAGGGUAUCCAAUGGCAUUUCAGACAUGAGUAGUCAUCAUAACUUCAUACUCUCUCCGUGGCAUUUCACCUGCCAAAGAUCUCCUUGGGACCAGAUUCCAUUCUCAGGAUUAAUCUGUGGCUCUGCAGGAAGACAUCAUAGCCCAACAAUGGACCUCAGGACAAAGUUUGAAAAUUACCAACCUUGUAAUGGAUGGUCUGCACGGUUUCCAAACAGUCUUUAU